rnacentral:rRNA from 1 species
UACGGAGGGGGCUAGCGUUGUGCGGAAUUACUGGGCGUAAAGGGCGCGUAGGCGGCGCGAUAAGUUGGGCGUGAAAGGCCCGGGCUCAACCCGGGGACUGCGCUUGAUACCGUCGCGCUGUGAGUCCGGGAGAGGAUGGCGGAAUUCCCAGUGUAGAGGUGAAAUUCGUAGAUAUUGGGAAGAACACCGGUGGCGAAGGCGGCCAUCUGGACCGGCACUGACGCUGAGGCGCGAAAGCGUGGGGAGCAAACAGG